rnacentral:rRNA from 1 species
UUGGAGGGCAAGUCUGGUGCCAGCAGCCGCGGUAAUUCCAGCUCCAAUAGCGUAUAUUAAAGUUGUUGCAGUUAAAAAGCUCGUAGUUGAAUUUCGGGGUUCUACCGUUGGUCGGGCUAUUGUCUGUACUGGCGUGUAGAAUUUCUACCUUCUGGGGAACUAUCAUGUUAUUAAUUUAGCGUGGUAGGAAACCAGGACCUUUACCUUGAAAAAAUUAGAGUGUUCAAAGCAGGCUUAUGUCUGAAUACAUUAGCAUGGAAUAAUAAAAUAGGACGGUGGUCCUGUUUUGUUGGUUUCUGAAUCACCGUAAUGAUUAAUAGGGAUAGUUGGGGGCAUUAGUAUUCAAUUGUCAGAGGUGAAAUUCUUGGAUUUAUUGAAGACUAACUACUGCGAAAGCAUUUGCCAGGGAUGUUUUCAUUAAUCAAGAACGAAAGUUAGGGGAUCGAAGACGAUCAGAUACCGUCGUAGUCUUAACCAUAAACUAUGCCGACUAGGGAUCGGACGAUGUUAACUUUUCUUGACUCGUUCGGCGCCUUACGGGAAA